CCUAUGGGAGGCUGCAGUGGGGAAUAUUGGACAAUGGGGGGAACCCUGAUCCAGCCAUGCCGCGUGUGUGAAGAAGGCCCUCGGGUUGUAAAGCACUUUCAGUGAGGAAGAACGCCUGGUGGUUAAUACCCAUCAGGAAAGACAUCACUCACAGAAGAAGCACCGGCUAACUCCGUGCCAGCAGCCGCGGUAAUACGGAGGGUGCGAGCGUUAAUCGGAAUUACUGGGCGUAAAGCGCGCGUAGGUGGCUUGAUAAGCCGGUUGUGAAAGCCCCGGGCUCAACCUGGGAACGGCAUCCGGAACUGUCAAGCUAGAGUGCAGGAGAGGAAGGUAGAAUUCCCGGUGUAGCGGUGAAAUGCGUAGAGAUCGGGAGGAAUACCAGUGGCGAAGGCGGCCUUCUGGACUGACACUGACACUGAGGUGCGAAAGCGUGGGUAGCAAACAGGAUUAGAUACCCUAGUAGUC
rnacentral:rRNA from 1 species